GAGAACUGGUGCUCACCAUCAAUGCUCAGAAGCUGUACACAGAAGUUGUGCUGCUGUCCGUAUAUUUGGCAAGCAAAAGGGAUGAGGAAGAGGAGGAGAGGGCAGCAACCUCAAGGAUCAUCUCAGCUGUCAGAUUGUCGACAUAAACAAAGUAACGUGUAGAAUCUCUGUAGCAGCUGGAGUGAUGUCAAACUUCUCUGGCCACCAAAUCCCUGAUUUGUAGAAGCGCAUCCUGACUUCUUUCUGGGGCUGCAUGGAGCAGCUUUCCUGCAAUGGAACGCUUUAUUGGAAGAGUGUGUGGAUCUUUAGGACUCUGCUGUGAGUGACCACAGGGUUCUCUACUUUGCUGGCAUGUCCUCAUCCACUGUUGGGAGUGCUGGAGACAAGAAGAGGACAACCUCAUUGAGUGUUUACAUGGACUUUACUAUCACAGUUUGAUGGUGUUUUUAAAUCUGCUAAUAUCAUUAUAUACUGAUGGAAAUAGAGAUAUACAGUGCUUAGCAAAUUUAUUAGACCACCAUCCAAAGUAAGGUUUAUGCCACAGCUGCAAUAAAUUAACAGCAUUGGUAAUUACCAAAAAAAUGUUAUCCAUGAAUUUUGGAAUUUACUGAUUUACAAAACAACUGAAAGAAUAGUAAAGCACAUCAAAUUAUAGUUAUUUACUUGCAUUCGUGAACAGAAAAAUUUGUUUUAGUGGUUGAAUGUUAUGCUUGAUUCAUUGCUGACUUCUCAGAAAAGCCCAGAGAGCCGGCUCAAGUUUGGGUAUAAAAAGGUGAAUUCGGUUUGAAAUUCCUCAUUCCUGUUCAAAAUGGUAAAACGUCGAGAGCUCACUGAAAAUGAAAAAGUCCGCAUUAAAGAACUUCAUGAUGCUAAAUGGUCUCUGAGACAAAUAGGGAAAGACAUAAAGUGUUCUCACAGUGUGGUCAAGUAUGCUUUGGAGUCAAUGGCCGAGACUGGUACUUACAAAGUGCGCCAAGGAAGAGGCAGGAA